CCCCCGGCCGCCCCGGCCCCCCGCCAGUUCUUUUGCAGGUACCACCACUGCAGGAGCAGGUGCUCCCCGUGCCCUGCACCCUGCCCGCCACCUGGGAGUCGCCGAUGGAGCCCUUUCAGGACGCCGUGGUGCUCACGCAGGACCAGGGGCACCCAGCGCCCACCGACGGGUGCCCCCAUCCCGCCACGGCUCCGCUCGGCUGCAGCACCGCAGCGCUGGACUCAGGGGCAGCCACAGCGAGCGCAGACAUCCCGGAGGACGUGGCGGACAUCCAGCAUCUCCUGGCAUGGCUCAACGACGAAGUGACAUCCAAGACAGGCAUCCUGGACGACGACGCAGACAUCGAUGACCUGCUCACGUGGAUCAACAACGAAGAGACACCCAGCACCCACAGACUUGACAACGAUGAUGUGGAAAUGGACCGUUUGCUCACCUGGAUUGACGAAGCGGCUCUGGAGAGUGCUCUGGAGGUCCCCCAGCACAAGCAGGACCUGCCCGGUGUCACAAGAGAGGGGACCAAAGCCACUGCAAACAGCUGCCAAACGCAAGAGCUGAUGCAGCGCAUCACUGCCACGGAGCCACUGAGCCCUGAUGUCUCCAGCAGCCUCGACUCCUCUUCUUCCAGCACAGAGCACUCGGACUCCUCCGGGGCCAGCAGGGAGCUGAGCAAAGAGACACAUCCUGAAUCAGGGCUCCUCAGCAACUCGCUCUGCUGGCAGCCAGCAUCCCCUGAGCUGCCCGUGCCGACGCCCCUGGCUGCCCCUGCGCCUCCGUCGCCCCGCACUGCACAUCUGAUGGAAGAGGCGCGGCGGAGGCAGCC
ensembl:lncRNA